rnacentral:rRNA from 1 species
UACGUAGGGUCCGAGCGUUUGUCCGGAAUUACUGGGCGUAAAGAGCUCGUAGGUGGUUUGUCGCGUUGUUCGUGAAAACUCACAGCUCAACUGUGGGCGUGCGGGCGAUACGGGCAGACUAGAGUACUGCAGGGGAGACUGGAAUUCCUGGUGUAGCGGUGGAAUGCGCAGAUAUCAGGAGGAACACCGGUGGCGAAGGCGGUUCUCUGGGCAUUACCUGACGCUGAGGAGCGAAAGUGUGGGGAGCGAACAGG